rnacentral:lncRNA from 13 species
CGGCGGAGCGGGCUGCGCUCCCCGCGGCUGCGGCGGGGCUUCACCCCGCUUCGUGCGGCCCCAGCGCCCGCCCCAGGGGCCGCGCCCGGCACCUCCUCGGCGGGGCUGCUGUCCCCGGGACGCCGUGACGGCUGUGCGCUCCCCGCCCUUCUCACCGCCCCUCUCCCCUUUCCUCCUCCUCCUCUUCCUCCUCCUCCUUCGGGAGCCUUGCCUCCCCUGCACACCUGCCUUGCCAUUUGUCGGCGGCUUUGCUAGGAGGGAAGAAUUUUCCCUCGGUCCCUUACAGCAUCCCUCCCCGGCACACACACACACACACACACACACACACAUACACGCACGCUCACACAGCCGGACGGGCAGAGGCACCGCGCUGCCCGUGCCUCGCUGGCCGCCGCCUCUCCGCACCUCGGCCCCGCGCUCCUCGCCGCCGCGGGGCGUCCUCCGCCUGCUGCAGCGCCGCCGGGCCCGGCAGCCGCCGAAGGGGGGUGGCGGCGGCGGCUCCCGCUGCUCCGCGGCCCCGCACCGGCAGCGAUCUGCAGCCUUCCAAGAUGAGCUGAUCUUGGAUUCUGAACUUGAAGCAAUUCUUCAAGACUAUAUGCUUCCUGAAACUCAAAAACUAUCUGCAAUAAAUAGCAGUGAUGAAAGGAACAGGACACUUCAAGGACAUGCUAUAAAAGUUGUUAGGACUGCAAGAUGCUGUAGCUUCUUCAUCUGAAAGCACUAUGUACGACCUGUAUUGGAUUAAUGUGAGUCAUGCUGAAGGAUGCUGGCUAUACCGUAAGCAAUAUUGAUCUUGCAUAUUCACUAUUUAACUUACCAAUUACAUUAAUUUCCCUUUUUUUUUCUGCAGCAUUUCUGGGUGAGUACACUUUUGAGGCUCUAAGCCCCCUGAGAAGGAGCCAGGCAGUUCAUGUUGGCAAAGAAUCCAGCAAAAGACAUUGCUUAAAUAUUUGCCAACAGCAACAGAGGCUUGUUUAAAAAAUUACUGCAUAUUUCAGCUAUUGUCUUGGGGGGCCUAUUGGAAAAGAACAAAUAAAGGCACAAAAUAUUAACAUUUUUAUAAAGCUUUCAAAAUAUUAAGGAGUAUUUGCAAGAUAGUACAAGUUAAAUGUGUUUUAGUAUGGUUUGAGGUCGGUUGGCUUUUUCCCUAUUGUUGGUCAAGAGGAAGGCAAGAGAAAGCAGGAGGGGCUGUGUGCUGUGCAGU